CUUUUUCUUCGAUUAGAGCUCUAAGAAAAAAUUACGCUGUUAUCCCUAAGGUAAUUUUUCUUUUAAUCUUUAAUAAAGGAUCAUUAAAUAAACACUUAUCAAUGUAAAAAUAAAAAAAAAGUUAAAUAAAUUUUUUAAUCACCCCAAUUAAAUAUUUAUUUUUAAAAAAAUAAACACAAUUCCUCCUCAAUUUAAUCUCAAAAAUAAAUAUUAAACUCUAUAGGGUCUUCUCGUCUUUUAUAAAAAUUUAAGCUUUUUAACUUAAAAAUAAAAUUCAAAAAUUUAAAAUUGAGACAGUUAUUUUCUCAUCAAACCUUUCAUUCCAGCUUUCAAUUAAAAAACUAAUGAUUAUGCUACCUUAGCACAGUCAAAAUACUGCGGCCGUUUAA
rnacentral:rRNA from 1 species